UGUGAAUAUUGUCAUGCUGACCAAGAGGCUCACAGAACUGGAGAGAAUUUCCAGGUGGAGAAGAGUGAAAUGUUCCUGUACUUUAAGCAAGACAACAUUUAAGGAGUAUGAUUGGAAUCUAUGAUUGUCUUACAUUCAGUCUUCCUAGAAUCAUGUGGAGGGCCUAGAAUCAUACCUGGGAGAGA